UACGUAGGGAGCAAGCGUUGUCCGGAUUCACUGGGUGUAAAGGGUGCGCAGGCGGGAGAGUAAGUCAGAGGUGAAAUCUCACAGCUUAACUGUGAAACUGCCUUUGAUACUGCUUUUCUUGAGUUCGGGAGAGGUUGAUGGAAUUCCCGGUGUAGUGGUGAAAUGCGUAGAUAUCGGGAGGAACACCAGUGGCGAAAGCGGCUACCUGGCCCAUUCUUGACGCUGAGGCGCGAAAGCUAGGGGAGCAAACGGG
rnacentral:rRNA from 1 species